UCUUCCACGGAUUAAUGGGAGCUAAGAGGU
rnacentral:piRNA from 1 species